AAAAGGGUACAUUUUAUCCUUUUAAAAGGGUUAAAACUAUCCUUUGAAUACACCUCGCUGGUAUUACCCUUUUAAAAGGGUAUUUCCCUUUGCGUACAAAGUGGCGCCACUUCGUCUCAACUCGCGAACUAUAUUUGUAAAUAGAUUUGACAGAUCAAAGCAAUUUGCCGUAAAAUUUCACGUCCUCUCUUGCUCCUCUGCAUUUUCCGCGUUUUUCCGCGUAAUUUUCGCGAGUUGGUAGAAGUUUGAGGUGAUCCUGAUUAGUGAUUUGUGCAGGUGAUUCAUUUUGCUGGUUUCCGAAGUUUUUUUUUGGAAAACGCAGACUCAAGUCAACAUGGAUGGAGUUUAUGAUGCUGUGGGAAACGAAAUCGCGAGCGUUUUCAAAGAAUUUGUGCAAUUUCUACUCUCUCGAUCGGGCUGGAGCAAUCUGUUGAUUUAAGGUGUUACAAUGAAAAAAUCUGGCUAAUCAAUCUGUAUGCAGCUCAGGGCGAUGGAAGUCGGCAGAAUCGGUGACGUGCUAAAACCGUUCAACCCCUGUGAAAAGUUGUACCUGUCUUGAAGUCAUUCGAGACAGUUUGUUGCUGGACGCGAAUCGGCAUUUGAUUAUUAUAGUAAUGAUAGGAUUAUGUCGAACUGUACAUAGAGUUGUAAGCAAUAAAAACGGUCAAAUCAAAA